UGGGGAAUCUUAGACAAUGGGCGCAAGCCUGAUCUAGCCAUGCCGCGUGAUCGAUGAAGGCCUUAGGGUUGUAAAGAUCUUUCAGGUGGGAAGAUAAUGACGGUACCACCAGAAGAAGCCCCGGCUAACUCCGUGCCAGCAGCCGCGGUAAUACGGAGGGGGCUAGCGUUGUUCGGAAUUACUGGGCGUAAAGCGCACGUAGGCGGAUUGGAAAGUCAGAGGUGAAAUCCCAGGGCUCAACCUUGGAACUGCCUUUGAAACUCCCAGUCUUGAGUUCGAGAGAGGUGAGUGGAAUUCCGAGUGUAGAGGUGAAAUUCGUAGAUAUUCGGAGGAACACCAGUGGCGAAGGCGGCUCACUGGCUCGAUACUGACGCUGAGGUGCGAAAGCGUGGGGAGCAAACAGG
rnacentral:rRNA from 1 species